ACAAGCCAAGAGAUACAGAGAAAAGUGUGACUGCUCUGACAGCAAAAACAAGCAAAUAUCUCCAGAGGGGAUUAGUCCCUCUGCUUCAAAGUAACCAAAACAAAGAGAGCUGAGCCAGCUUCACUGGGAACAACUCCUGUCCAUCAAACCAGAAUGAGCUCAG
ensembl:misc_RNA